UUUCCUAAUGCUAUCCCUCCCCCCUCCCCCCACCGCAUGACAGGCCCCAUUGUGUGAUGUUCCCCUUCCUGUAUCCAAGUGUUCUCAUUGUUCAAUUCCCACCUAUGAGUGAGAACAUGCGGUGUUUGGUUUUUUGUCCUUGCAAUAGUUUGCUGAGAAUGAUGGUUUCCAGCUUCAUCCAUGUCCCUACAAAGGACAUGAACUCAUCCUUUUUUAUGGCUGCAUAGUAUUCCGUGGUGUAUAUGUGCCACAUUUUCUUAAUCCAGUCUAUCAUUGAUGGACAUUUGGGUUGGUUCCAAGUCUUUGCUAUUGUGAAU
rnacentral:lncRNA from 1 species